rnacentral:tRNA from 1 species
GGGGCUGUCUGCUAGUGGUAGGCUACACCCUUGGGGUGGGUGUGACGCGAGUUCGAUUCUUGCCAGCCCCA